CACUGACAAACAAUGACAUACACACAUACACUAUUACUUGGACACACACUGACAGAUGCACACUCUCACUGACAGACGCAAGCACUCACUGAAAGAUGCACGACUCCACUGACCGACACACACACACUGACUGACACACACUCACUGACCGACACACACUCACUGACCGACACACACUCACUGACCGACACACACUCACUGACCGACACAUACACACUCACUGACCGACACAUACACACUCACUGACGACACAUACACACUCACUGACGACACAUACACACUCACUGACUGACACAUACACACUCACUGAGCAACACACACAUUCACUCACAGACACACACACAUUCACUUACAGACACACACAAUUACACACUUACAG